UACUUCUGUUUUAUCCUCUGUGAAAUGUAGAUACUGUGUGUCUCCCACUUGCUUUUUAGGGUUGUUGGGAGGAUAAAUGAAACUGUAUGACAGACACACUGGGAACUCAGAAGAAAGGUGCUGUUGAAACUGAACCUCAUCCUAUGGCUGUGCCGUUGGCAGGCAUAACCGGUGUGCUGAGAGGCAGUGGUAGUGAACCCCGUGGUGAAAGGCCAGGACCAUGGGCUCUGGAGCCAGGCUGCCUUGGUUCGAAUCCCACCUCGACCUCUUGCAAGUGGUCUGACCACAGCAAAUCACCCAACCUCUCUGUGCCUGAGUUUCCCCCUCUUUAAAUUGGGGAUGAUAAUAGUACCCACUAAAGGAUCCUGGUCUUAAAAUUUUGGUAGCAGAAAGCAAAUGUGCAAAGAGCAAUGGAAAACAAGUCAGAAGCUGCUGUCUGAUUCCAGAGGAACUCGUAUUUUAUGUUAAAAAAAAUGCUCUCACCACACACUUGUUCAUGGGCGCAGCAAAGAAGAGGGAUCCACAGAGCUGGAGCCAUGAGGGCUGACACAUUGGAAUGAAAGCUGGCAGAAUUCGUAGGGAGAGCUUUCCCAUCCUGCCAGCCCCAUGUCUGGCUUUAAGACAGUUCUAUUAGUGAAUUAACUGUUCUCAAAACCCCAAAUUA
rnacentral:lncRNA from 10 species